rnacentral:rRNA from 1 species
UAUUUGAGUUUGAUCGUGGCUCAGAACGAACGCUGGCGGCAGGCUUAACACAUGCAAGUCGAACGCCCCGCAAGGGGAGUGGCAGACGGGUGAGUAACGCGUGGGAACAUACCCUUUCCUGCGGAAUAGCUCCGGGAAACUGGAAUUAAUACCGCAUACGCCCUACGGGGGAAAGAUUUAUCGGGGAAGGAUUGGCCCGCGUUGGAUUAGCUAGUUGGUGGGGUAAAGGCCUACCAAGGCGACGAUCCAUAGCUGGUCUGAGAGGAUGAUCAGCCACAUUGGGACUGAGACACGGCCCAAACUCCUACGGGAGGCAGCAGUGGGGAAUAUUGGACAAUGGGCGCAAGCCUGAUCCAGCCAUGCCGCGUGAGUGAUGAAGGCCUUAGGGUUGUAAAGCUCUUUCACCGAUGAAGAUAAUGACGGUAGUCGGAGAAGAAGCCCCGGCUAUCUUCGGGCCAGCCGCCGCCGUAACACAAAA